UCAACUGAUGUGGUCAAUCCAGC
rnacentral:siRNA from 1 species